rnacentral:rRNA from 1 species
AACGAACGCUGGCGGCGCGCCUAAUACAUGCAAGUCGAGCGAGAAGACGUAGCAAUACGUUUGUAAAGCGGCGAACGGGUGAGGAAUACAUGGGUAACCUACCCUCGAGUGGGGAAUAACUAGCCGAAGGUUAGCUAAUACCGCGUACGCUCCUUGGACUUCGGUUCAGGGAGGAAAGCGAUACCGUGGGUAUCGCGCUCUUGGAUGGGCUCAUGUCCUGUCAGCUUGUUGGUGAGGUAACGGCUCACCAAGGCUUCGACGGGUAGCUGGUCUGAGAGGACGAUCAGCCACACUGGCACUGCGACACGGGCCAGACUCCUACGGGAGGCAGCAGUAAGGAAUAUUGCGCAAUGGGCGAAAGCCUGACGCAGCGACGCCGCGUGGGGGAUGAAGGUC